rnacentral:rRNA from 1 species
UGGGGAAUCUUGCGCAAUGGGCGAAAGCCUGACGCAGCGACGCCGCGUGGGUGAUGAAGGCCUUCGGGUUGUAAAGCCCUGUGGAGAGGGACGAAUAAGUUCGACCUAAUACGUCGGGCGAUGACGGUACCUCUUUAGCAAGCACCGGCUAACUCUGUGCCAGCAGCCGCGGUAAGACAGAGGGUGCAAACGUUGUUCGGAAUUACUGGGCGUAAAGCGCGUGUAGGCGGUCGUGCAAGUCGGGUGUGAAAGCCCAGGGCUCAACCCUGGAAGUGCAUUCGAUACUGCAUGGCUAGAGUCCCGGAGAGGAUGGUGGAACUCUCGGUGUAGAGGUGAAAUUCGUAGAUAUCGAGAAGAACACCGGUGGCGAAGGCGGCCAUCCGGACGGUGACUGACGCUGAGACGCGAAAGCGUGGGGAGCAAACA